UUCAUGCGCAUAAAAUUCUUUUGAUAAACGGUCCAAAUUUUCAUGUUCCCUCACAGUACAGGAAAACAUUAAUUGGAGUUGUUGUGCUGCAAAUUAUCGCAUUUCUUUCCACAUUACUAAUUUUAAUAUUUCGAUCGUACAUUGCUGAAAUGUUUUUGGAACAUUUAAUGAACGGUUAUUACAUUCAUCCGUCUAUUAAAGAUACCAUGGACACAGUGCAACUAAAUUUCGAGUGCUGUGGAAUUAACAGCUACAAGGAUUGGUCCAGUUCGUUACCGGUUUCGUGUUGCGGUUCAUCAGUUUCAAUUUGUAACACAGCAACGAAAUUUCUCGGCUGUAAAGAGAAUCUGAGUAUGUUCAUGCUGUUAAUUUGUUUGGCAUUUCUAUUCGUAUCCACUGGGAACAUCAUCUUACAUGCAUAUUGCAUCCAUUGUGCAUUUAAAUUAAGCGAAGAGUACAAGAGGGUGAUGAUGGAUGGAUUUUGAUUUUCUUUUUUUGUUGUAUAAAUUCGGAUGAAAACAGAG